rnacentral:lncRNA from 1 species
CCCAAUCUGUCCCUUAAAAUUCUGAAAGUUAUCCGAAGACAAAUAGAAUUCUAAUUCAAUAUGUAAUUGGUUAGUUACUAAAUCCAUAUUUUAAUCCGUCACGUUCUUUAUCUCUACACAACUUCCAUAUUCAACCAAAAGGAGAAAACGAAAAGGUCUCUGCAAUUAUACAGAGUCUAAAUUCUGCAACCCUUUUUCUUGCUCUCCAAUAAUUUAUCAAAUCUUUGAUUAGCUAAAUUUCCAUAAUAGAAAACCCAAUUCUUUCUUAUAAAUUGAUAACUUCAUAUGUAAAACAUCAUAAGUUCGUUGAACUUUUCAGGGAAUUUUUUUUUCAAUGGAGGGCAGCGGAACAAGUUGGGCUGAUCAAUGGGGUACGGGAAAAACUGGUGAAGAGGACAAGAAGAAGAGAUUGAUAAAGAAAAGUGGAAAAAAGAUGGAUGAUUUCAAGAAGGUGGCUUCUGCAGGUUUUGUUAAGGCUAAGGCAGUAGCUGUUUUUGGGGCCAAAAAGGUCAAGACUGGAACAUCUUUGGGAAUCAAGUGGAUAAAGGAUCAAUCCCAGAAAAGAAAAUCAUCAAAGUGAUUCUUGUAAUUUUCACCUUUUUUAAGUUCUUGGGGCAUUUGAAUAGGCAGUUUCAGAGAACUGUGGAUUGGUUUGCUCAAUCGACUAGAAACAAUGGAAAGUGGUUUAUGAGUUUAUUUUUUUUUUCUUGUUUUAUAUGUAUAUUCUGCAGCUUAUAUAUGUUCUUGUUGAAGUAUAAUUUUAGACACGGUUUUAUGCUCAAUUUUCAUGAUUUGCACAGUAAAUUUUAAAAAUUUGUGUCUACUUUUUUUUUGGCAA